UUUUAAAAAAUGAUCCCCUCCACUGCCCAGAAAAAAAAAAAAAAAGCCUUAGGAUGAUCGUACAAAUGUUACAAUGGUUUUUUUUUAAAAUGUUUGUGAAUGCCUUUUAAAAAAAAUGCUUUCUUCACCACUAAUAGCAAGUUUGAGUUCUGUUGUUUAGUUUUUAAGCCAUCAAUGGGAAUCUAUGUGCCCAAAUUGUAUUUUACAAUACUUUCCAAUACAAACCAAAAAAGUGUGUAGAUAAGGGUAUCAAUGUGAAUGAAGUAUUUCUUUUCAAAUUCUUUUCAAAAUAAGCAUUCUCUUUUAUGACCUGAAUCUAGGUGAUUCAUAUGUUGAGUUCUGCUGGACGAUCCCGACAAGUUUUGGGAUUAAGUUUCAAGUUUCCUAACUCUUAAAAGCUUUCUUAUCUAAGACGAUCAGGUUUUACAGAUGGCCACUUUUUUCCAGCCACCUUUUCCCUAAUUUAUCUAACGAAUGAAAUGAGCAACCUGAUUCAGGUUACAACUUUUUACUUAAACUAAGUGGGUAAUUGUAAUUUAGAGACCUAAGAACUGAAUGCAUUCUCUAAAGCAUAAAGAAAUAGACAAAUUAUAGGUGCACAAUUUGCAUUCGGGGCCCACAGAAUUUUGAAAUGUAAAAGCUCCCUGUUAAGGCCAUAUUUAGAGAUGCUUAUCUCAGGGUCCUCGACCUCAAGGACUUAUCCUCCAUGUGCUAAUAAAGCUGAAGGUGUAACUUCCCAGGAGGCACCACUGGCAACCUGCAAGACCAAAAAGCCUUUUGAGGACCAAAAUAACUGAAACUCUAAAGGGGGAAUUUCAGAUUGUGACAAAUGGUAAAGAGAGGGAGGUGGCAAGGGGACUCCUAAUCAGUUCCAUUCAAAUCAUCAAUGUGCAGUUAACAACCUCUCCUUAUCAGAGAAACCAGUGUAAUAACUUAAAAAUAUACUAUUGUAAUAAUUGUAAUUUUAAAACAGAAAUACUCUAGGUUAAAUUGAACCCCUCUCCCCGAUCCUACUGGUCAUUCAGCAUGUUUUAAAUUCAAGGUUGCCCUUUAGGAAAGGAGGUCACUUAAGGACAGUUGACCUCAAUGAGACAUCUUGUAUACUAAUUCGAAACUAUUUCAAAGAGGGAAAAAUGGAGAUUAGAAAAGUAACAUACUACUUGAGAUGUUACCAUAUUAUUUCUUAGGGCCACAGUUAUUUACACUAUUUUUUUGACAACUCAGUAAUUUCUAAAGCAUUAAUUAUGUAGCAAUAUUCGUCACUUUAACAAAACACAUUUAAAAAGUUCUAUCCUACUGACUCAGGCCAAAUCUAAUUUUAAAACUGAACUUAGACAUAAAACUACUCACCAAUUAGACUAAGAAGGGGGAAAUAAAAAAAAACUAUUGGUUCCGAGAAAUGAGAACCAAUUAAGAAAAAACUUUAUAAUAAAGUGUUCAUCAAAAACUUUAUAAUAAAGUGUUCAUCAAUAAAAUACAUGGACGUUCCAAGGCUAAUCUAGGCUAAUGCUUUCCUAGGGAGAAUAUUAAGUAGUUGGUUGUUUCUCUCUACCUAACUGGGAUUUUAGAAACUGCCACACUAGCUAGUUAUGAGAAUGAAGAUUAAAGAAAUUUCACAUAAAGAGUGAAGGACACACAAUCUUUUAAGUAACAAUAAUGAAAUUAAUAAUUAUAAUUAAUAAUAAAAAAACAAGCCUCUCACUGCCUUCCCCCUCAAAAAAAAAAAAAAAAAAAUUGGGAGUGUUUUGGGAAUUGGAGAGAUGUAAUCAGAACAGAAAAAAAAAAACCCUUUCCUAUAAGUCAUCGUGAAGCAGUGAUUCUACAUUAAAAUAAGAGUAGUCUAUUCUCUAUGUAGUUAUGAGUGUGGUACAACUCUCUAAAAUGUCUAUUAAUACAAAAUGAAAGAUCACUUUUAAGCCAUUCUACAUUUUAGCAAACUACCCUACAGAUCUAGGAGUAACUACUUGCAACUUAAACACAUUCCUAUAUACCUCUAUACCUUUCUGCUUCCUUCAAGAUAUCCUUACAGAAUGAACGAAUACAACUUAAAUUAGUUUAUUUCCCAGGGUGCUUCCUUUCUCCCCUCUCCAUGAAACAUAAGCACAUUUUUUAAGUCAUAUAAAUGGAUACCAAGCACCUGUAAUUCAGUCUCUUUAAAAUCUGCUUAAUUUUAAAAGUUCUAAUAAGAUGUGUUCAGGUUGGAAACUAAAAACUACCUUAUAAGGGUAUAAAAGACUGAAAGCAGGAAGCGGCUUUGACAAAACUAAGGAAGUUACAGCGCGCUUGCUCACUGGGGGACUUUUUUGAGGCUACAGAAGUAACACAUGACAUCUUUCUCCCUCGAAUUAAAAUGUGACUCGGUUCACCGGUUGAAACGCAGAGGGAGAUGGCAAUGACCGGGAGUCGAAAGGAGAAGGUUAGAGUGCAGUGGUGCAGUCAUGGCUCACUGCAGCCUCUGCCUCCAGGACUCAAAGAGUCCUCCUACCUCAACCUCCCAAGUAGCUAGGACCAUAGAGUUGUGCUCUCCUGCAGCCUUUUGAGGAUGGCUGGCUUCCAUACCCAGAAUCAAUCACACCACGACACUGAAAAAACAAAAAUAAACAGGAAAAAAGAGCGAGAGAGUAAGUCUAGCCUAUUUUUACAAGAACACAGUGGCUAUGGACAGUGCUGGUGUGAAAAUGAUUCAGCAAAAGUGGAAAACUAAAAAUUCUAGGGCAGUAUGAAAACUGGGAAAGCAAUUACAGCGGAAGUUGCCUUCCCCAUGGUAGCCUAGCAACUUCGUGUCUCUCCAAGGCAGAAAGGAAAAUCAAGUUUAACAGGCCUUCCUGAAGGCUAGGUGUGAAAUACCAGAAGCCAUCUUUGUUUCUGGCAUCACUAAAUAUUUGUUGAUACAAAGUAUUACACAUCUGUUCUCCUACCUCUCAGCUAAACUGCCAAAAGUUAACCCUUUCUGGAGAUGCAGAAUGGAGCAAUAUACCUAGCUCUCAUUCAUUUAUUUCCCUUGCUGAUAUUCUUGCAUAGCUUUUAGUUUAUGCAUUUGUCCCAGAUAAACCUAGAAAAAACCACUUGUCGUAGGACAAGAUGAGCUGAUGAUUUAAAUCAUUCUCCCACUGAGGAAGAAACCAUCCUGUGGAAAAGACUAUAUAAGGUACUUCCUGAUUGAAAGGUAGGGCUCUGGAGUCAGACAUCUUGAAUUUGAAUCCCAGCCGUGAAAUGUAUCAACUGUGUGCCCUUAGGUAAGUAACUGAACUUCUCUGGC